rnacentral:rRNA from 1 species
GUGAAUUGCAUCAGCUGGAACUGCCGGGGGCUUCGGAACCCUGCGGCAGUUCGAGAGCUUCGUAGUAUUGUGAAGCAAGAAGGUCCUUCCCUUGUGUUCGUCAUGGAAACAAAAAUCAGGGCGAAGAAGGUUGAGAAUCUGCAGAACACUUUGGGUUUUGCAGGAUGUUUUGCUGUCGACAGUAACGGCCUCAGCGGUGGUGAUGGACUGUUCUGGUCGAAGGAAGUUAAAUUUGAACUGAAAAAUUACAGUGUGAGCCACAUUGAUGUGGUGGUCAGAACGAUUGGUCAUGACUCUCCGGGUUAG